ensembl:lncRNA
CAGAGAGAGGAUUGACAGUGAACAACUCAUUGAAUGGAUUAAAGAAUUCAUGCUUGUAAUAGCAUCUGUCAUGAAGGACUUUAUUGCAAACAUUGAAGGAAGUUUACUUACUUCUGACUUAUAUGAGAAUUGACUUCGCAUCCCAGAUGAAGGAACUCUGGUUGGAAAAAUCAAUGCCAUCCAAAGAUGUCCAUUAUACAAAUCAUAAUCGACAACUAUCAUCAAAUAUUUGGAAAUGAUGAUAUAUUUAAUAAACAUAUUGACAGAAGAUCUGAGGAUUUAAAGACUUGUGCAGAUUCAAUAAACUCUUCUGGCAAAUCACCUAGUUGAAAGAAUUCCUAGCUGGCCUCAACAAGAAAACAUGCGAUAAUGGUGAAAAAUUAAAAAUUUCAUCCAUUGCUCUGCAGGAGGAAGGUCCUACAGGACAGAACAGAACAACUACCACAUAUAAGUGGUAGAAGAUGACUGAAGAUAUUAUAAGGUCAUUCUAUUUUAAUGUUCCUUUCUACCUUCCACUUAAUCAUAGCAGAACAAUUAUUACAACACCCUGCUUCAGCAC